GACAGAGGGUGCAAGCGUUGUUCGGAAUUACUGGGCGUAAAGGGCUCGUAGGCGGCCAACUAAGUCAGACGUGAAAUCCCUCGGCUUAACCGGGGAACUGCGUCUGAUACUGGAUGGCUUGAGGUUGGGAGAGGGAUGCGGAAUUCCAGGUGUAGCGGUGAAAUGCGUAGAUAUCUGGAGGAACACCGGUGGCGAAGGCGGCAUCCUGGACCAAUUCUGACGCUGAGGAGCGAAAGCCAGGGGAGCAAACGGG
rnacentral:rRNA from 1 species